CUGUAUCAACAGAGUAAUUCACCAGGGGAAAGACCUCUCAUUUACGUUACAGAUUGAGGAACAAUUGUUACUCUGAGCUGGGACCUGCCAGGAUUCACAAAGAGGAUAAGUCAUUUUCCUGUAACCACAAGAUGACUCAGAUGAGCCCCGAAAACUGUGGAUCACAGUCUAUUGUCUGAAGCAUCCAUCCGCGUCCUCUGGCUAUGUCCUCAGGACGGCCAGUUACUGGAGAAGGAUAUAUCACACUCAUGAAGUGGCGAGUCUUCCCCAGGAUGGACCAGGAAGCCGCCCAGCUGGAGAAGCAGCACGUGCAUGAUGUGUACGAGAGCACCGCGCCUUUCUUCAGCGACUUGCAGAGCAAAGCCUGGCCGCGCGUCCGCCAGUUCCUCCAGGAGCAGAGGCCAGGGAGCCUCGUCGCUGACAUAGGUUGUGGCACUGGAAAGUAUCUGAAAGUGAACAGCCAGGUACACACCCUGGGCUGUGACCACUGCGGGCCAUUGGUAGAGAUUGCCCGGAAUAGAGGGUGUGAAGUCAUGGUAUGUGACAACCUUAAUCUCCCCUUUAGGGAUCAGGGCUUCGAUACCAUCAUCUCCAUAGGAGUCAUCCAUCAUUUCUCUACAAAACAAAGAAGAAUCCGAGCAAUAAAAGAAAUGGCUAGAGUCUUAGCUCCUGGAGGCCAGCUGAUGAUCUAUGUGUGGGCUAUGGAACAAAAGCACCGUCACUUUGAGAGGCAAGAUGUCCUUGUUCCCUGGAACAGGGCCUUGUGUUCCCCAGCCUUCCCAGAACCCAGCCAGUCUGGAAGGACUCGACAAGGCGGACAUGCAGAAAGGAACCAUCCUUACCACUCUCCGUGUUCGGAGUGUAGCUAUUCUGUUUGUUUUAAAGAGAGAGGUGAUUCCAAACAGUCCCACAACACAGGCCACUAUAUGGCUAGAACCUGUUGUGCCAACAUUUCUAAGGAAGGCGAGGAAGAAAACAGGUUCUAUAACACAUUAGGGAAAUCGUUUCGUUCCUGGUUUUUCUCCAGAUCUUUGGAUGAAUCCUUUCUGAGGAAGCAGGUUGACAGAGGGAGACCUUUGUCAAACCCUGGAUGGGCUGACAACACUGUCUCCGUUCAGCCUUCCAGGCAUUCCAGUUUAGACCUGGGUCGCUGCGAGCCAAUGUCGACACAAGGUCAGACUUUAGAUGAGGAAGUGUUUGAGGAACCUGCUACGCAGACAAACGUGCAGCGGCUGAGAGCGCCAGGAGCACAGAACCAUCGAGGAGGCCAUCGAGGAGGGACAGGGGGGAAUGGAGAAGGGCCCGGUGGCCCUGAGAGCCGUGUGGGUGCAGGUAGCUUAGAAGAAGGCCAUCCUCCUGCUGGAACACGGUUGAGAAAGAGUUCUACCGCUGGUUCCACGGAGUCCAUCCCAGAGGGCACGAUUCCUGUCGCGCCGCGGCAGCGGGAAGCUCUGGAUGCUAGUUCCUUCAUGCGUUACUACCACGUGUUCCGCGAAGGCGAGCUGUGCGGCCUGCUGACGGAGCACGUGGCCGAGCUGCGCAUCCUGAGCGCCGGGAAUGACCACGGCAACUGGUGUCUCAUUGCGGAGAAGAGGGGGACUGAUUGAGGGGUCACCUGAGACAGCAUCCAGUUUUACCCUUUCUUAAGACCCAUUUGUGUUUUGUUCUCCAGAGACUGUGCGUUCAACUUCUGUUUAAUCCGUGAGACAGAAUCAUUGCUGGCCCUUAAAGAGUUCAAGAAAAGGGAUUUGAGACUGAUCAUUCACGUGAGAGAUUUCAAGAAGGAAUUAGAAGAUUCGUGUCUGUGUGGUUUGGAUUUCUUUUACCCCUGAAAAACCAAAUUCUUAAGCUUAAAGGUGCCGUUGGCAGGAGAGAGGAUGGAGUCUACCUGUAUGAGGAGCUGACGCAAGUGCCUGCAGCGCGAUUUCUCGCUCUGCCCUGUGAGAAGUGGCAUCCUGGUUACAAGCUGUGCUGCUAACUGCAAGAUCAGCAGCUCCAGACCACCAGCCCUCUGCAGGAGAAGGACAGGGCUUUCCA